CCUACGGGAGGCAGCAGUGAGGAAUAUUGGUCAAUGGACGCAAGUCUGAACCAGCCAUGCCGCGUGCAGGAAGACGGCUCUAUGAGUUGUAAACUGCUUUUGUACGAGGGUAAACGCAGAUACGCGUAUCUGUCUGAAAGUAUCGUACGAAUAAGGAUCGGCUAACUCCGUGCCAGCAGCCGCGGUAAUACGGAGGGUGCGAGCGUUAUCCGGAGUUAUUGGGUUUAAAGGGUGCGUAGGCGGUCUGUUAAGUCAAGGGUGAAAUCCCGGGGCUCAACGUGGGAAUUGCCGUUGAAACUGGCAGGCUGGAGUGUGUGAGAGGAUAGCGGAAUGCCAGGUGUAGGAGUGAAAUGCUUAGAUAUCUGGCAGAACACCAAUUGCGAAGGCGGCUAGCCGGCACAUAACUGACGCUGAGGAACGAAAGCGUGGGUAGCAAACAGGAUUAGAUACCCUGGUAGUC
rnacentral:rRNA from 1 species